AGAAAAUUGGAGUGAUCGCCCUGCGCACCCUGUGUGUACGGGGAGGAAAGUCCGAGCAGCACCAAUAACGGGAUGUCGCUAACGGCGACCGGUGAUUGGAAGCUUCGGCUGAAAAUCAUUAGGGAAAGUGUCACAGAGACGUAACCCACCUCGUGUGGGAGUGCAACGCCUGAUAAGGGGCCCUUGGGGUGACUCAAGUGUGCUGGUAAACCCAUCCUGCUGCAAGGUGAUACUGGCGGUCUGGAACAACUCGCGUAUUGGCGAGCCGGAUCGAUCACCGCACGAGCCUCCCAGCAAUGGUCGGCCUAGAUCGAUGAUCACAUUCACUUCGGUGAAAACAGAACUCGGCUUAUGACAAUUUUCUCUCU
rnacentral:RNase_P_RNA from 1 species